rnacentral:rRNA from 1 species
GAUGAACGCUAGCGGGAGGCUUAAUACAUGCAAGUCGGACGGUAACAGGUCUUCGGACGCUGACGAGUGGCGAACGGGUGCGUAACGCGUACACAACCUACCUUUUACUGGGGGAUAGUUUUGGGAAACUGGGAGUAAUACCCCAUUCGUUUGAGCUGCGGCAUCGCGGUUCAAAGAAAGGUUUACUGGUGAGAGAUGGGUGUGCGUCCAAUUAGGUAGUUGGUAGGGUAACGGCCUACCAAGCCGACGAUUGGUAGCUGGUCUGAGAGGAUGAUCAGCCACACGGGCACUGAGACACGGGCCCGACUCCUACGGGAGGCAGCAGUAGGGAAUAUUGGUCAAUGGGCGCAAGCCUGAUCCAGCCAUGCCGCGUGAGUGAAGAAGGCCU